UACGGAGGAUGCGAGCGUUAUCCGGAUUUAUUGGGUUUAAAGGGUGCGUAGGCGGAUUUUUAAGUCAGCGGUAAAAUGUCCGGGCUCAACCCGGGCCGGCCGUUGAAACUGGGGAUCUUGAGUGGGCGAGAAGUAUGCGGAAUGCGUGGUGUAGCGGUGAAAUGCAUAGAUAUCACGCAGAGCUCCGAUUGCGAAGGCAGCAUACCGGCGCCCGACUGACGCUGAGGCACGAAAGCGUGGGGAUCGAACAGG
rnacentral:rRNA from 1 species